rnacentral:rRNA from 1 species
AGGUCUUGACAUCCUCUGACCACCCUGGAGACAGGGCUUUCCCCUUCGGGGGACAGAGUGACAGGUGGUGCAUGGUUGUCGUCAGCUCGUGUCGUGAGAUGUUGGGUUAAGUCCCGCAACGAGCGCAACCCUUGAUCUUAGUUGCCAGCAUUCAGUUGGGCACUCUAAGGUGACUGCCGGUGACAAACCGGAGGAAGGUGGGGAUGACGUCAAAUCAUCAUGCCCCUUAUGACCUGGGCUACACACGUGCUACAAUGGACGGUACAGAGGGCUGCAAACCCGCGAGGGGGAGCCAAUCCCAGAAAACCGUUCCCAGUUCGGAUUGCAGGCUGCAACUCGCCUGCAUGAAGCCGGAAUCGCUAGUAAUCGCGGAUACAGCAUGCGC